rnacentral:tRNA from 1 species
GGAAUGUAGUUCAGUGGUAGAAAAUGUGCUUACCAUGUUCAAGGCCCUGAGUUCAAUCCCCAGCACCA